GAUGAAGAACGCAGCGAAAUGCGAUAAGUAAUGUGAAUUGCAGAAUUCAGUGAAUCAUCGAAUCUUUGAACGCACAUUGCGCCCGCCAGCAUUCUGGCGGGCAUGCCUGUCCGAGCGUCAUUUCAACCAUCGAGCCCCGGGCUUGUGUUGGGGACCUGCGGCUGCCCGCAGGCCCCGAAAUCCAGUGGCGGGCUCGCUGGCACACCGAGCGUAGUAGCAUACACCUCGCUCAGGGCGUGCCGCGGGCUCCGGCCGUAAAACGAACGCCUUCUCGGCACAAGGUUGACCUCGGAUCAGGUAGGAGGACCCGCUGAACUUAAGCAUAUUCAAUAAGCGGAGGA
rnacentral:misc_RNA from 1 species